AACCCAUGGUGAGGGUACUUUCUCAAUAAAUCCUUAUAUCUCUCCCAUGCAUCGUAUAGGGUCUCUAAGUCUAUUUGCACAAAGAAAGAGAUAUCAUUGCUCAACUU
rfam:Gossypium arboreum cultivar AKA8401 contig_64817_1, whole genome shotgun sequence.